rnacentral:rRNA from 1 species
UACGGGGGGAGCAAGCGUUGUUCGGAUUUACUGGGCGUAAAGGGCGCGUAGGCGGCGCAACAAGUCACUUGUGAAAUCUCCGGGCUUAACCCGGAGCGGCCAAGUGAUACUGUCGUGCUAGAGUGCGGAAGGGGCUACUGGAAUUCUCGGUGUAGCGGUGAAAUGCGUAGAUAUCGAGAGGAACACCUGCGGCGAAGGCGGGUAGCUGGGCCGACACUGACGCUGAGGAGCGAAAGCGUGGGGAGCAAACAGG